AUGCCAUUAUGUAGGCAUUUCCUUAACAACUCCUUGUACCUCUCCCAAGCAUCAAGAACUGCCUCAUCCUCCAGUUGUUCAAAAAGAAAAAUCUCAUUUAUAAAUUU